GCCAGCCAAGGACACGGCGCGCGACGG
rnacentral:sRNA from 1 species